rnacentral:rRNA from 1 species
AGGAAGGCUCUUGGGUCGUAAACCUCUUUUCUCAGGGAAGAACACAAUGACGGUACCUGAGGAAUAAGCAUCGGCUAACUCCGUGCCAGCAGCCGCGGUAAUACGGAGGAUGCAAGCGUUAUCCGGAAUGAUUGGGCGUAAAGCGUCCGCAGGUGGCGAUGWAAGUCUGCUGUUAAAGAGUCUAGCUCAACCAGAUAAGAGCAGUGGAAACUACAUAGCUAGAGUACGUUCGGGGCAGAGGGAAUUCCUGGUGUAGCGGUGAAAUGCGUAGAGAUCAGGAAGAACACCAGUGGCGAAGGCGCUCUGCUAGGCCGUAACUGACACUGAGGGACGAAAGCUAGGGGAGCGAAKGGGAUUAGAUA